rnacentral:rRNA from 1 species
CACGUAGGGUCCGAGCGUUGUCCGGAAUUACUGGGCGUAAAGCGUGCGCAGGCGGUUGGGUCAGUCGCUGGUGAAAGCCCCACGCUCAACGUGGGAAUGGCCAACGAGACGGCCCGACUGGAGGCAGGGAGAGGCCGGUGGAAUUCCGGGUGUAGUGGUGAAAUGCGUAGAGAUCCGGAGGAACACCAGUGGCGAAGGCGGCUCACUGGCCCGAUACUGACGCUGAGGUGCGAAAGCGUGGGGAGCAAACAGG